UACGGAGGGUGCAAGCGUUGUCCGGAUUUAUUGGGUUUAAAGGGUGCGUAGGCGGCCCGUUAAGUCAGCGGUGAAAUCCCAGGGCUCAACCCUGGAACUGCCGUUGAUACUGGCGGGCUUGAGUUCGGUCGAGGCGGGCGGAACUGGUGGUGUAGCGGUGAAAUGCAUAGAUACCGCCAAGAACCCCGAUUGCGUAGGCAGCUCGCUAGGCCGAAACUGACGCUGAGGCACGAAAGCGUGGGGAGCGAACAGG
rnacentral:rRNA from 1 species